rnacentral:rRNA from 1 species
UACGAGAGGCCCAAACGUUAUUCGGAAUUACUGGGCUUAAAGAGUUCGUAGGCGGCCAACUAAGUCAGACGUGAAAUCCCUCGGCUUAACCGGGGAACUGCGUCUGAUACUGGAUGGCUUGAGGUUGGGAGAGGGAUGCGGAAUUCCAGGUGUAGCGGUGAAAUGCGUAGAUAUCAGGAGGAACACCGGUGGCGAAGGCGGGUCUCUGGGCCGAUACUGACGCUGAGGAGCGAAAGCGUGGGGAGCGAACAGG